AAAAAGACAAACCCUGGGUUUUCGUGUCCAACUUUGACUGUCCGUUUUAUAUGAAAUUUUUUUAUAAUUCGUAUUUUCAUUGUUGUUGGAUGAUAAAAUAUGAUUAAUAUUUUAUACGUGACUUGUCUUUUUAAAUUUUUUCAUAAUUUUUUUAAAUAAGACGGACGGUCAAACGUUGGACACGGAAACCAGUGUUUGUCUUUUUU
rnacentral:pre_miRNA from 1 species